rnacentral:rRNA from 1 species
UACGUAGGGUGCAGGCGUUAAUCGGAAUUACUGGGCGUAAAGCGUGCGCAGGCGGUUUGUUAAGACAGGUGUGAAAUCCCCGGGCUUAACCUGGGAAUUGCGCUUGUAACUGGCAGGCUAGAGUGUGGCAGAGGGGGGUGGAAUUCCACGUGUAGCAGUGAAAUGCGUAGAUAUGUGGAGGAACACCGAUGGCGAAGGCAGCCCCCUGGGUUAACACUGACGCUCAUGCACGAAAGCGUGGGGAGCAAACAGGAUUAGAUACCCCUUAGUCC